AUUUCAUUAGUAAAAUUUUAUUAUAUUAUCUUGAUGAGGUAAAGUUCCUGUGGAUGAAAUAA
rnacentral:tRNA from 1 species